GGGUCCCGGCUUGCUUCUGCGAGCCGCUGGGGAGCAAGGAACGGACGUGUCAACUGCGGGAUCGGCUGUUACAUUCCGGAGGCUUGGCUUCAUGUCGAUCGUGGAUGGAGGCAGAGUCCCCUUCUGGGAGCUGCUGACGGCCACCAGCUAGAAGGCAUAAGCCUCGGACUCGGCCGAUGCCAUCCUCCAACUCGAGACGCGAGCUGGACCAAGUGGGGCAAAGACAAAGGAGCGGCUGGACUUCAUCGUGGUGAAGGCCGCUGUUCUCCCGAGUGCGGGGGGCAGUGGCCCGUCCGGCUGUCUGUCGGUGCCCUGGGUUGCAUCCUGACCGAUUCCCUGGCGUAUUGUUUUACAGGAGCAGGUUAGCACUCGAACUAGCGACCGCUUUCACUUAUGAACCAUUUAAUGAUCUGCUCACAAACCCUUUUCUUCCUGCCCCCGAGUUGGGGACCCUGGAUUUAGAAACUGUCGGACCCCCGGGGUGAGGGCUGCUUGCUUCCACCCCCAAACGCAACAGUGCUCCCCCUGCAUUGAAGCCCCGACUGCCUCCUGGGAUACCAGUCACUGCAAAUCACUGGAGGAGGGAGCUGUGCCCGUGACCAUCUUGGAGGAGAGAACUGGGUGGGGCCCAGCGACCCUAGCCCUGGGACAGGAAGCAGAGACUGGAGACUUCCUGCUUUUGGUUCAUCCUGACGGAGUCUGCAGGGCGGACGAUGUUUCAAGAAGAGAGGUCACAAAGGACAUCUACGGGAUGCUUUCAACUUUACGGGUGGCGACAUCACAAUGUGCUACAUCGUGAAAGAAAGAUGAAAGAAUCUACGUAGCACAGGACAUUGGGCUCGGUCUUCGAGUUCACAUGACAUUCCAGGCUGGCUCUGAACGGGACAGAACUGUUGUCCAGAAAACGUUGGCCAAGUUGUGCUCGGCUGUGAGAAGUCGGUUCUCAUGUUCUCUGGCGUGUGAGAGGAUGCUCUGUCUUUCUCCAUAAACCCCAAGGGAAGGUAAAUGAGUUGGGGAGGGGGUGGCAAUGAAAGGCGCCUUCAUACCUCUGUUGUUCAGCACCAUUAACCUUCCCGGUAAUUGGAACACACGAAAGGGGGAGGUGAGUGAGAGCAGAGCUCCGGUCUCCUUCCUGGCAGGUACAAUUACUUAAGCCUCCCAGUAAAGGAUCGGCUUUAGAUUCCUACCCGGAGCCACCACUUUCAAAUCACUCCCUACAAAAUCAACCACAGCACCAUUUAAAAAAAAAAAAAAAAUCUAAUGAUAUAAUCAUUUCUUUCUUCUGAUCCUUGCCUGGGGAUGAAAAGUGUACCCAACAAUAUAAGGUGGGCGUUUGUUACAUAAUUCAUGUAACUGAUCCAGUCCAUCACGCAGAAAAUGUAACAACAAAAAAAGGAGGUCUUAAAGGCUGACCACGUGAGACCCAUUUAGGAUUCAAAGUCAUUUUAGACCGCCAGGCAAAAAUAGGGUUUCAUUUCCCACAUAAGAAGCCACUCUCUGCAAAUAAAAAACGCAAAUCCAAAACUUUAAGGCAGAACGAGAUGCAGAAAGACAUCACAGUCUAAUUACAACACAGAUAAAAUGAACCUAGUCUGGUCAACGAACAUAAAGAGUUAUCAUGUGUUCUAUCAAUGACAUAGCACUUUUUACCCACAGUCUAGAGCUGUGGGGGUGUGGGCGGGAGCGGGCGUUUUCCUAGGCCAGUUAGACUUGUGCGUACAGGCAUGCAUUUCAGUGAUAAGAGAAGAAUAUUUAGAAAGGCACUUUAAAAAGUAGUUAUCUUUGUAAAAGCUAAAAUUUCCUAUAAUUAAAAGGCAAAUCAUCAAGCUGGAUUCUCCGUAGUCUGGCCGUAAGCAUCUUUGCCACAAGCUUUUUUUUUUUUUUUUUUUUUUUUUUUUUUUUGCUGCAAACGCUUUUGCCACAUUCCUAAUUGGCCAUAAGGCGAUUUUGCCAUAAAAGCUAAAAAUCACGAAAAGAUUUUUAAGGAGAGACAUUCCUUAAAAAGGACACGAUGAAGCAUUGAAAAAUCAAUAACAAAAUUGAAAAGGCUUUGUUGAGAAGGACAAAAUAGUUGAAUGCAUUUAAAGUGUGUGUAGGGUCAUGGUAACACUGUGCAAAUAACGGAUUUUAUUUUGUGGUUUGUACUUAAACACUUGUCUUUAAAGACUUCAUUCAGAGUAUCCAUAUGUACAUAUUUGCUCAUCUUAAGUUGUCUCCUCGUUUGGCGUCACGCUUUUUCUUUUUUUUCUUUUUUUCUUUUGCUAACAUUCCUUCCUUCUUUAAGAGAGGCGUCAGUUUCCAAAUACUGGGAUACAUAUUUGUAACUGAUUUUGCUAGCGUGCUGUGAAAGCGCCCUUGUGAAACACUGUUGUUUUCCGACAUGUCCUCUGAUAGACGUUCCAAAGUUCUAAUGGAAAUGUGGGUUCAAAUCCGUGCCCCCGUUUGGACCGUGAUGAGGGCUAAGAUUUAUAGGCUGUAAAAAUGAGAGUAUCAUGUCAAUGGAGAAAUGAAACCAAACUGUCAACAGUUAUUUAUUUUUUUUAUCUCUUUAAAUUUUUUUAUGGCAAAAUUGCCUCACCGCUAAGUGGCACAGCAAAAAUGCUCAGUGGUGAAAAAUACUUGCAGCAAAGACAUCUUGCUACAAAGAUGCUUUGGAGAGAAGAUACCAGACACAGUCAAGGCUCCCAUCACGCACAGUAUCGUCCGGGGGCAUUGAUAUCAGAGUGUGCUGUUACAUAUCAGAUUCUAGUUGCUUUUAAAUCUACUUGAAUGAUGCGGUCAUGAUCCAGCUGAAUUACAAAAAUGUUAAAUGUUUCUAUUAUUUAAAUCAAGAUUAAACUGGGGGAAAAAAAGGCAAGAUGUCUCAAAGUUUCUGAUAUAAUUGUAGUGGGGAGGAAAUACAGACGAGGCAGAAUUUGCUCUCCUGACCCCGGAUUCUGAGUUGGGCCCCGAGAUUUGCUUUGGGUAGUGGAACGCUGAUACAUGAAGAGGUUUGGAACAGCCUGGCCUUUUUCCCCAUUUCUUCUCUUGCUUCCCUGCCACCAUUGUAAGGGGUGCCUGGGUUCGUUGGCCACAUGGUGAGUCAGAACUGAGUCAUUCCAGAGGGGGCCAUUCUAGAUCAGCCCAGAUGGGCCAAGUGUCCCUACUCUCGGGGCCACGGUUCGCUCAGCACACCUGUCUUGGGGACACUUGCAAAUUGCCUGCCACUAAAGGGGGGGGGGUUGUUUGACAGCAUUAUGACGGCAAGAAUUACCUGACGGAGCCGCUUAUGGUUUUGAAUUCUCGUUACAUUUCUAUUUGGGAUAGCCGUGGUAAAGUAGAUGUUAAUGGCUUCAGUGUAUUUCUAGAGUUCCUGUAUUCUUUUUUAAAAAUAGCUUUGAGAUCACCUACCACCCAAUUCCCUUCUUUCAAGUGUUCAAUUCAAUGGUUUUUAAUAUAUUCACAGAGCUGGACAUGCAACUCCCACAAUCCACUUCCGGGUACUUCCGUUACUCCAAAAAGAGUGCUCUGAAAAUAGCUACUCCCCUUAGAUGUUAUCCUUCUAUCCCUUCCCAGCCCUCGGCAAUAGCUUGUCUGCUUUCUGUCUCUAUGGAUUUGCCUUUUCUGGGGAAGUUCCUAUCUAUGGACCCAUAUAAUACACAGUCCUCGAGGCUGACUUUCACUUAUGUGUUCAAAGCCCCUCUAUGUUGGAGUACGCACCAAUCCUUUAUUAGCAUUUUUUCUCCAGUCAGCAUUUUUGUAGCCACAAUCAAUCCAAAUUAAGAUCUGUAAAUCUUACUAAGGUUACAACUUUUGUAUCUAACGAAGCUAUAUUUUCUUCCUUUUUUUAGAAUUGGGAUACACUAUGCAUAACACAAAAUUCACCAUUUUAAUCAUAAAAUUCAAUGGCAUUACAUUCACAAUGCACAAUGCAACCCUCACCACUAUACCUUCCAGAACUUUGUCAGUUUCCCCAGCUGAAGCUCUGUGUCCAUUAAACAUCAUCUCCCCAUCCUCCUCCCCACAGCCUCUGGUGACCACUACUCUGUGUUCUGGCCCUGCAUUUGUCUCUUCCAGGUGCCCUAUGGAAGCGGGAUCAUAUCAUGUUUUGCCUUUUCGGACCGGCUUCUUUCACUGAGCGUGAUGCUUUCAAGGUUCACCCGGGUCGGAGCGUGUAUGAGAAUAUCCUCCCUUUUAAAGGCUGAAUACUAUUUAAUUGUAUGUCGCAGCCAUAUUUCAUUUAUCCGCUCACGUGUUGAUGGACUUUCGGGUUGUUUCCACUUUUUGGCUACUGUGCAUAAUGCUGGUAUAGACAUUCGUGUACAAGUUUUUGCGUGGGCAUGUUUUCUCUUGCAUAUGUCGCUGGGAGCCACGCUGCUCUGUAUCAUGGUAAUUCCACGUUGAACCACCUGAAAAACCCCCGGAUUUCGUUCCAAAGAAGCUUCUCUAGUUUACAUUCCUUCCAGCAGUGUAUAAGGGCUCCCGCUUCUGGACAUCUUUACCAACAUUUAUGAUCGUUUCUCUCUCUUUUUUUUUUUUUUUUUUUUAAUUAUAGCCAUCUUGUGGGUGUGAUCUCUGCGUGGUGAGUUUCAAUAUUAUCCAAUUCCGCACAGUUCGGGACGUGCUUUAUUGUCAAAGUAAGGGUCAGAUACAGACUGACCACAAAUGGUCCCCUUUCUUCACCAGUGAUCAAAUCAACAUAAAUGGCAUUUACCAACAUCAUUUCGGGACUUUAAGCCCUUUUUAUCCCCCCGUCCCCCCCACGGCCCUCCAAA